rnacentral:rRNA from 1 species
UACGUAGGGGGCUAGCGUUAUCCGGAAUUACUGGGCGUAAAGGGUGCGUAGGUGGUUUCUUAAGUCAGAGGUGAAAGGCUACGGCUCAACCGUAGUAAGCCUUUGAAACUGGGAAACUUGAGUGCAGGAGAGGAGAGUGGAAUUCCUAGUGUAGCGGUGAAAUGCGUAGAUAUUAGGAGGAACACCAGUGGCGAAGGCGGCUUCCUGGCACAAUACUGACGCUCAUGUGCGAAAGCUAGGGUAGCGAACGGGAUUAGAUACCCCCGUAGUCCCUGAG